GACGAACCGUCCAAACGUUAUUCGGAAUUACUGGGCUUAAAGGGUGCGUAGGCGGCUUCGCAAGUUGGGUGUGAAAUCCCUCGGCUCAACCGAGGAAUGGCGCCCAAAACUGCGGAGCUCGAGGGAGACAGAGGUGAGUGGAACUUGUGGUGGAGCGGUGAAAUGCGUUGAUAUCACAAGGAACACCGGUGGCGAAAGCGGCUCACUGGGUCUCUUCUGACGCUGAGGCACGAAAGCUGGGGGAGCGAACGGGAUUAGAUACC
rnacentral:rRNA from 1 species